rnacentral:lncRNA from 1 species
AAGCUAGUAAAUAUCGUAUUUUCAUGUCAUAAACGAUCCAAAGGGGUACCAAUUAUUUGUAAAUAUAAAUAGACUUUUAUGUAACUUAUUUUCACCCGUAAAAUCAUUUCACCAGUUUCUGUUCACGAAUACCGAGAGAAACCAAACUUUGUUCUUCGUGUUCUUCGUAAUCAAACGAGGAUUUGAAGGUGUUAUUGGAAUCCGAUGGAGGCGUAUGAAUAGUCAAAACGAAGCUCUCGACGCGUAGAAUAUAGUAUAAUCAACUAUAACGCUGCAGAUUCAUCAGGUGAUUUUACAUGAUUUUUACAAAAUUCGAAUUAAAUGAUUUUAAAUUAUGAAUUUUUGCAAACGAUUCCGUUUAUGUGAUUUGAUGAUUCUAUGAUGUAGAGCAUGUUUUUCUCGUCGUUUUGGUAUAUUAUAUGUUGAAUUUUGACUUUGGUAACAUAGAGAAAAGUUAGUUUGAUUAUUGACUUGAAUGUUCUUGAUUGUUCUUGAGCUUUCGCCGGAAAGUUAUGAUUUUUGGCCGGAGAAUCUGUUUUAAGAAGUCUGGGUAGAAACUAAGCUCACCAUCAGGUAGAUCGUGUCAUGGGAAAUCGUUUGUUGUAUAAAACAGGGGUGGAGAAGGCUAGAAACAAGCUCGCCAAAAUUUUAAAAUCCGACGAUGUUCUUCGUUUUGAUUCAAAUUUCCUGCUAAACUGUUGAUCUUUUGUUGUUUUAAAUCCCACAAAUGUGUUCCUGGCAUCAUAAGGUACUGAUCUGCAUUGUUUGGAAAGUUUCCGGGUGGUUUUUGGCCACCGACGGUGGCCGACGGCGAGUGGAGGGGGCGGCGCUGCAAUUUUGCAGUUUAGCCCCCAAUCUUUUCAAGGUGGUGAAGUUGUUGUACCUAAGUUUUGAAUCUUACAAAACACCCCCUGUAACUUUUGAAAGUUACAGUUUAAACCCUGGACGAAAACUUUCAAAAGUUUACAAAAUAAACCUUUUGAUUUAAUUUUCUAAAAUUGUUUUAUUUAAUUAUUUUAAAUUCCAAAAAUAGUUUUUAAUUAUUUCUUUAUUCAAAAAUAAAUCUAAAUUAGUUUAUUAAUUAAUUUUAAUUAGUAAUUAAUUAUUUUAAUUGGUCAAUUAAUUUAAAUAUUAAUUGAUUAAUUAUUUUAAUUAAUUAUUAAUUGAUUUUAAUUGAUUAAUUAAUUGGAUUUAAUUAAUCCUUUUUGAUUUAAAAAUUCCGAAAAAUAGUUUCGAGCUUUAAAAUAUUUUUCCAAAUUAUUUUCAAGGCUCGAUAAUUGUUUAUGAAUGAUUUCAAGUCCAAUUUCAAGUAUUUGGGACUUGAUUAUUUAUCCGAAAAGUGAUUCUUUUAUCGAUUUUAAUUCCGAAAAAUGUUUAAAAAUUCCAGAAAAUUCCCGAAAAAUCAUUUUUAACCCAAGAGUUGAUUUGAUAUCAAUUGGGGUGGGAAACCUUAUGUGUAAUGUGUUGUCUGCUAUCUGUUUGAUGUGUUAUGUGCCGAUAGAGGAGUUAGAAAACGGUUUUGAUCAUAACUUUUGAUCCGUAAGUCGGAAUCAAGUGAAACGAAAGAGAGACAGAAGCUUAUAAAGUCUAGUUUGAUAUGACAUAAUAUUAUGAUGGAGUCGAGAAUCUGAAUAAUUUUUGUUAAAUGUGCAAAAUGUGAUUAUAUGUUAUUUGGUUGCUAUUAACUAAUGACUACGUGAUAUACAUGUUUAUUCAUGAUAGUAUAUGCGUGUGAUAAAUGAUUUGGAUGACAUAGUGUCGUGAGUUGAUUGAUAUUGGAUAAGAAUAUAUGGAUUAUAGUGAUUGGAUCUUGUUGGUUGAUUGUUGAUUGAGAUAGGAUAACAGGUGGAUAGUCUAAUAAAUAGACGAGACGAUGUCGGAUUUUCGAUAGGAUUCAUAUGAUAAGUGAUUGGUAAUAUGUUAUGUGGAAUAUGACUUGACUAUAUGGUAGAGUCAAAGCAUGAUUACGUGUUAAGUGAUAUGUGAUAAGUUUAAAGGGGUAUAUAAGUGGGUAUCGAUAUACGUGAUAUGUAUAUGCGAUAUAUUGUUUAGUGACUAUAGUAUUAUCUUAUUCUCGUAAAGGAUUUGGACGAGACGUGUACGCUCGAAGACGUCAGAAAGUCGGAAUGGUAUUGCAAAGCGAAUAAGGGAUGAAUCGAGUAAGCGAAGCGAUGUGGCGAAUAGAGUAUAGCUAGAGAUGGUCUAGAGAUUAUGAGAUGCAUAGAUUGUGAAAGUGGAAAGAUGAGAAUGAGCUGUGAGACGGGAGUCAGAUUUAAGGCAAGUAUCCUAUACCCUUCUUUUGGAUAUCUUGCGAUUAUUCUGAUCCAUUCUUUUCGUAUGUGUUGCAAAUAUUCGUUCCUCUCUUUUUCAUAUUUGGCAAGUGCAAAUAUUUUUAUCCAUCCUUUUCUAAUCCUCAAAAAUUCAGAUAAUUCCAGUUUUACAAAUUAAUUCGAAGUUCAGAUUGUCAUUGAAGCAUGUGUUGCUCAGUGAUGAUUAGAACCUAGAAUGACUUGGGAUCUUCUUGAUUAUUCAACCCGCCAUUGUCAUGCUGGUUUAGCAGGCUAAAUUCAGUUGCUUAGCCGAUAAUGGAGGAUACUGAAUAGUUAAGGAUUUCCUGGAUUAUGAUUUAUGGAAGGAUGGACUCUGGUUUAUGAAAAGUUGAUUAUCAAAUGUUUGAUUGGGAAUUAUUUUAUCAUGGAUAUUGAUUGUGGUUAUGUUCUGUUGCUAUACGUUGACCUGUUAUUGAAUUAUAGAAUUGGAUUAUUGUUUUUAUAUAAACCUGUGGACCAGAUUCGUGGUCAUGUUAGGCCAAUGAGUGCCUUGGAUCCAGUGAUAGAGCAUGGCGGGGCCUGCUCGGGGUUAGUGCGGAACUGAUCAGCUGCCUAACCUUGGUUUUAAUUAAAAUGUGAUAGUCCAAUUCAAUAAUUCUUUGGAAAGAUUGAAUUCCUCAGUUUAAAUGAUGCAAGGUAUUGUAAAUCAUUCUAUGCAAUACCAUGAACUCAUGAACUCAGGUUGAACCCUCUUAUAUCUUGAACUCGUGAACUUCUGUUAUAUCAUUUCAGAAUUAUCAUUGUUUAUUAUUACUUGCUGAGCAUUGUUGCUCACCCUUGCUAUUCCUUUCUAACCAUUUCAGAAAGGCUAAAAGAUGAGAUGAUUGAUUGAGAUUGUGGAUAAGGCUAAUGCUAGGCGAGGAGACAGAAUUGAGGAUCCAGUGGUCGAGGAGUGUUCAGGAAAGUUGAUGAGGGUGGUGCAAGCUAGAGCUGUGCUAUAGGGAUUCAAGUGAAAGUCAUAGCUGGAAUAGUUAACAGUGAUUCUUCUUAUCGAAGAUGAUCUGACUUGGUAAGAAAAGUUGUGUAAUAUUAGUGGUGGAUUCUAAUUUCAAUACUGUAACCUGGAAGCGAUCCUGUUGUUUUUGGGGGUUAAAUGUUCUCUUAAAAUUUUCUUAUUAUGGUUUUCAAGUUUGAAAUUCAGGUUUUAAAAUCAUU